rnacentral:rRNA from 1 species
CGGUUGAUCCUGCCGGACCCUACUGCUAUCGGGGUGGGACUAAGACAUGCGAGUCGAGCGUUUCUAGCUAUGUUGAGACGCGGCAUACGGCUCAGUAACACGUGGCUAACCUACCCUCAGGACGGGGACAAACCCGGGAAACUGGGGCUAAUAUCCGAUAGGCGAGGAAUCCUGGAAUGGUUCUUCACCCAAAGGACAUUGGAAACAUGCUUUCUCUGUCGCCUGGGGAUGGGGCCGCGACCGAUCAGGUUGUUGGUGAGGUAAUGGCUCACCAAGCCUUUAACCGGUACGGGCCAUGAGAGUGGUAGCCCGGAGAUGGGUACUGAGACAAGGACCCAGGCCCUACGGGGCGCAGCAGUCGCGAAAACUCCGCAAUGCACGAAAGUGUGACGGGGCUACCCCGAGUGCCGUCCGCUGAGGAUGGCUUUUCCUUGGUGUAACUAGCCGGGGGAAUAAGGAGAGGGCAAGACUGGUGUCAGCCGCCGCGGUAAUACCAGCUCUCCGAGUGGUAGGGAUGAUUAUUGGGCUUAAAGCGUCCGUAGCCGGCUUAGCAAGUUUCCUGUUAAAUUCAGCGACCUAAUCGUUGAGCCGCGGGAAAUACUACUAGGCUAGGAGGCGGGAGAGGUCGACGGUACUUCUGGGGUAGGGGUGAAAUCCUAUAAUCCCGGGAGGACCACCAGUGGCGAAGGCUGUCGACUAGAACGCGCUCGACGGUGAGGGACGAAAGCUGGGGGAGCGAACCGGAUUAGAUACCCGGGUAGCCCCAGCUGUAAACGAUGCGGGCUAGGUGUUGGGGUGGCUACGUGCCACUUCAGUGCCGCAGGGAAGCCAUUAAGCCCGCCGCCUGAGGAGUACGGCCGCAAGGCUGAAACUUAAAGGAAUUGGCGGGGGAGCAC